ACCGCUUCGGCACGUGUGGUGUGCACGCUUGGUCCGCAUGAGUUUCAACGGUCCAGAUACAAAUUGGCGCAAAUAGACAACGAUCAGACUGUUUACGUUAAAAAAUUAAUAAUAGAGUCGUAUAUAUUGCUGUACUCAGCGUGACAGGUUAUCUAGACCGUAAUUUAAUCAGGAGCCCUACCUUCCCUCAAAUUCAAAACCCUAAUUUACGAACUUCAGCCUUUGUGCUUCGGUGCGAUCCCCAAUUUCAUCGGAGGGGAUAUAAUUUACAGUACUCAGGAAAAUGAGCAGCCGUAGUACAAGCAGAACUCUCUAUGUUGGGAAUCUGCCUGGUGAUAUACGCGAGAGAGAGGUCGAAGAUUUGUUUUUGAAGUAUGGACGCAUAGCCCAUAUUGACUUGAAGGUUCCCCCAAGGCCUCCUGGUUAUGCAUUUGUUGAGUUUGAAGAUGCUCGUGAUGCUGAAGAUGCACUUCGUGGUCGCGAUGGCUAUGAUUUUGAUGGUCAUCGUUUACGGGUUGAACUUGCACAUGGAGGGCGUGGACAUUCAUCUUCGUCAGAUCGUCAUAGUAAUUAUAGUGGUGGUCGAGGUGGGCGUGGGAUGUCCAGGCGCUCAGAUUUUCGUGUGUUAGUCAGUGGACUACCCUCUUCUGCUUCAUGGCAAGAUCUUAAGGAUCACAUGCGACGGGCUGGAGAUGUCUGUUUCUCCCAAGUUUUUCGUGAUGGUAGUGGCACAACAGGGAUUGUGGAUUACACUAACUUUGACGACAUGAAGUAUGCGAUCAAAAAGCUUGAUGGCUCUGAGUUCCGGAAUGCCUUUUCUCGCUCUUCUGUUCGUGUGAGGGAGUAUGAUUCGAAGCGGGACUCAUCUAGGAGCCCUAGUCGUGGUAGAUCUCAUUCAAGAGGCAGGAGCUACAGUCGUAGUCGAAGUUAUAGCAGGAGCAGAAGCCGGAGCAAGUCUCCCAAAACCAAAUCUUCACGCCGCUCGCCUGCUAGAUCUCGAUCAAGGUCUGCUUCUCCGCCUCGCUCGCGAUCAAGAUCUCGCUCUCCGUUAGGAUAUGGAUAUAUGCGGCGAACUGGGGAUUGGAUAUUAGGACUUGAUUGGAUAUGGUCAAUUGCUUACAACUCUUUUUCUGUGGAGAUUGGGAACAAUGGAGGUCUUGGAUUGCACUAGUAAAGCUGGAUAUCUGUGAACUAAGUGCCAUUGGGAUUUGGAAGUCAUCAUCAAUGAGCAUUUGAUUUUCAUUUCCUGCUCCAACAUUUUGCCAAGCUAAUAGGGCGCACUAUCUGGAUAUCCUGGAUUCUUGUGUUACAGUAGGGAAGAAUGCUCCUCUUGUUUCCACUGGUGUCUAAUAAUAAUCAUAAUGUAUUUUUUUUCAUAUAUAUUUUUGCCUCUGAUUUUGUUCUGUUUUGGCGGGGAUUACAUUAAUUGUUUUAUUCUGUUUUUCUUCUUUCUAUUCAUAUGCUGAGUGUUUAAACCUUUUUCUUCUAUCCUUAUUGGAUAUGGUAACUUCACAUGGAAGAGGCAUCAAGGACCUUGGACCAAAUUGGUAAAAGGAACAUGGUUAUUAAAUUGGGUUGUUUCUGGAACUUUUGCAGAUCACGAUCAAGAAGCAGAUCUCCACUGCCUUCGAAACACACAAGUAAAAGCCCGAAGAAACACAUAAGUAAAAGUCCAAAGAAGCGUAGUGCUAGCCGGAGUCCAAGCCGGAGCCGGAGCAGGAGCAGGAGUUUGUCACGGUGAUACUUGACCCCUUACCUGAAGCUACCAGGAGGAGGGAGCUUCACUAUGGUUGUUAAAGCAGUGGAAGUGGGACGCCUUUUAUUUAUCCGACUUUUAAGUUUAUGGAUGGAUUCAUUUUGCAAGCCAUUGUGUUGGUUGCAUUCUUCUUUAACUGAAACAGAUGUUUUACCAUCUUCGCACCUUGUAAUGAAUAUGAGAUUUUUGCUAUGUUGCUGUUGGAAGUUUCGGAGUA